AAUGGCUUCUUUGUCGUGACUAGUCGUCAUACCAAAAUAAUGCCUCCCGUGUUUCAUGCAUCAUGGGUAUUGUGUAACAACCAAGUGCGUCCCCAAUGUCGAAAAAACGAACACCAGCUACAAAUCAUGGUCAGUAUAUCAAGGUCACGAGAAGCUACGAUUAAUGUAAGCGUAUUCAGGGCAGCCAAUCAGCUAUAAAAAUAAAAAUCGUGAAAUGAUUCUUCCUCGAUAUACCAUCUACAGAUCCCCCUGUUUGAUUCUACUGUUUAUGUGAAGGACGUUGUCUAUAAGACAGUGGUACCGGAUAUGAUAACGUUGCGUGCCUAAAUAACUGUGACGAUUACUGCGGGGAAGAUGGUGAUUACGUUGGCGGAGAUCGACUAGGCUUACGUCGAGCUACGAACGGUGUCAGUGUCGAGGUAUACUAACGUCACCACGGACAAGCCUGAAUUGUACCACAUUAUGUAUCUUACGUUGUUCUUAUUCUGUUAAUGAAAUGUUUCAAUAAUAUACGGACAUCUUCUAUCACUUGCGAAAAUGGUGAGCUUGUGCUUCGACGAAAGCAUGGUGAUACGAAAAGUACCGCAGAUACAAGAAAAUUAGCAAGUAAAUAAUCUAUUUAGCGUUAUUUGUGAAGUUAGGCCUAUCGUUACUUCGUGAAACAGUGUAAGGGUAGAACUUGUAGUCAUAGAAAUAAAACAUAUUUGAUGUCAUUAAGUGGAGUAGACUUUGCAUUAUUUUUCUACGAAAUCCGAAAUAAACCAUUAUUACAAUGCUGUAAAGAAGUGGAAUUAUUUUCGUACAAAUAGAAAAGAUUUCAGAAUGAGCUUUAAAAUCACGACACGCGCAUGAACGGAAACACGACAAUUUAACAAAGACGAAAUUAAAAGAAGAUCAGGAUGAAAGAGAAAGGAAAUUAAAAGAAGGUCAUACAGA